AUCGGACGCGAUUCGCCCUUAGAGUUUGAUCCUGGCUCAGAGCGAACGCUGGCGGCAGGCCUAACACAUGCAAGUCGAACGAAGUCUUCGGACUUAGUGGCGGACGGGUGAGUAACACGUGGGAACGUGCCUUUAGGUUCGGAAUAACUCAGGGAAACUUGUGCUAAUACCGAAUGUGCCCUUCGGGGGAAAGAUUUAUCGCCUUUAGAGCGGCCCGCGUCUGAUUAGCUAGUUGGUGAGGUAAAGGCUCACCAAGGCGACGAUCAGUAGCUGGUCUGAGAGGAUGAUCAGCCACAUUGGGACUGAGACACGGCCCAAACUCCUACGGGAGGCAGCAGUGGGGAAUCUUGCGCAAUGGGCGAAAGCCUGACGCAGCCAUGCCGCGUGAAUGAUGAAGGUCUUAGGAUUGUAAAAUUCUUUCACCGGGGACGAUAAUGACGGUACCCGGAGAAGAAGCCCCGGCUAACUUCGUGCCAGCAGCCGCGGUAAUACGAAGGGGGCUAGCGUUGCUCGGAAUUACUGGGCGUAAAGGGAGCGUAGGCGGACAUUUAAGUCAGGGGUGAAAUCCCGGGGCUCAACCUCGGAAUUGCCUUUGAUACUGGGUGUCUUGAGUGUGAGAGAGGUAUGUGGAACUCCGAGUGUAGAGGUGAAAUUCGUAGAUAUUCGGAAGAACACCAGUGGCGAAGGCGACAUACUGGCUCAUUACUGACGCUGAGGCUCGAAAGCGUGGGGAGCAAACAGGAUUAGAUACCCUGGUAGUCC
rnacentral:rRNA from 1 species